rnacentral:rRNA from 1 species
UACAGAGACUGCAAGCGUUAUUCGGAUUCACUGGGCGUAAAGGGUGCGCAGGCGGCCAAGUGUGUGAGGCGUGAAAGCCCGGGGCUUAACCCCGGAAUUGCACCUCAAACUACUCGGCUAGAGCAUUGGAGAGGGUAGCAGAAUUCAUGGUGUAGCAGUGAAAUGCGUAGAUAUCAUGAGGAAUGCCAGAGGCGAAGGCGGCUACCUGGACAAUUGCUGACGCUCAGGCACGAAAGCGUGGGGAGCAAAAGGG